rnacentral:rRNA from 1 species
UCAGGACGAACGCUGGCGGCGUGCUUAACACAUGCAAGUCGAACGAUGAAGCCCUUCGGGGUGGAUUAGUGGCGAACGGGUGAGUAACACGUGGGCAAUCUGCCCUUCACUCUGGGACAAGCCCUGGAAACGGGGUCUAAUACCGGAUAAUACUUCUGCCUGCAUGGGUGGGGGUUAAAAGCUCCGGCGGUGAAGGAUGAGCCCGCGGCCUAUCAGCUUGUUGGUGGGGUAAUGGCCUACCAAGGCGACGACGGGUAGCCGGCCUGAGAGGGCGACCGGCCACACUGGGACUGAGACACGGCCCAGACUCCUACGGGAGGCAGCAGUGGGGAAUAUUGCACAAUGGGCGAAAGCCUGAUGCAGCGACGCCGCGUGAGGGAUGACGGCCUUCGGGUUGUAAACCUCUUUCAGCAGGGAAGAAGCGAGAGUGACGGUACCUGCAGAAGAAGCGCCGGCUAACUACGUGCCAGCAGCCGCGGUAAUACGUAGGGCGCAAGCGUUGUCCGGAAUUAUUGGGCGUAAAGAGCUCGUAGGCGGCUUGUCACGUCGGAUGUGAAAGCCCGGGGCUUAACCCCGGGUC